rnacentral:rRNA from 1 species
UACGUAGGGUGCGAGCGUUAAUCGGAAUUACUGGGCGUAAAGCGUGCGCAGGCGGUGGUGCAAGACAGAUGUGAAAUCUCCCGGCUUAACUGGGAAAUUGCAUCGGAAACUGAUCGGCUUGAAGGUGGGAGAGGGUAGCGGAAUUCCCGGUGUAGUGGUGAAAUGCGUAGAUAUCGGGAGGAACACCAGUGGCGAAGGCGGCUACCUGGCCCAUUCUUGACGCUGAGGCGCGAAAGCUAGGGGAGCAAACGGG